rnacentral:rRNA from 1 species
GACGAACGCUGGCGGCGUGCCUAAUACAUGCAAGUAGAACGCUGAAGGAGGAGCUUGCUUCUCUGGAUGAGUUGCGAACGGGUGAGUAACGCGUAGGUAACCUGCCUGGUAGCGGGGGAUAACUAUUGGAAACGAUAGCUAAUACCGCAUAAUAGUAGAUGUUGCAUGACAUUUGCUUAAAAGGUGCAAUUGCAUCACUACCAGAUGGACCUGCGUUGUAUUAGCUAGUUGGUGGGGUAACGGCUCACCAAGGCGACGAUACAUAGCCGACCUGAGAGGGUGAUCGGCCACACUGGGACUGAGACACGCCCCAGACUCCUACGGGAGGCAGCAGUAGGGAAUCUUCGGCAAUGGACGGAAGUCUGACCGAGCAACGCCGCGUGAGUGAAGAAGGUUUUCGGAUCGUAAAGCUCGGUUGUAAGAGAAGAACGAGUGUGAGAGUGGAAAGUUCACACUGUGACGGUAUCUUACCAGAAAGGGACGGCUAACUACGUG